UUAGGAAUUUUGCGCAAUGGGGGAAACCCUGACGCAGCAACGCCGCGUGGAGGAUGAAGGCUUUCGGGUUGUAAACUCCUUUCGACUGGGAAAAACAAAAUGAUGGUACCAGGAGAAGAAGCACCGGCUAACUACGUGCCAGCAGCCGCGGUAAUACGUAGGGUGCAAGCGUUACUCGGAAUUAUUGGGCGUAAAGCGCAUGUAGGUGGCUUUGAAGUCUGAUGUGAAAUCCCUGGACUCAAUUCAGGAACUGCAUUGGAUACUGCAAGGCUAGAGUAUGGGAGAGGUAGGCGGAAUUCCUGGUGUAGAGGUGAAAUUCGUAGAUAUCAGGAGGAACAACAGAGGCGAAGGCGGCUUACUGGACCAUAACUGGCACUGAGAUGCGACAGUGUGGGGAGCAAACAGG
rnacentral:rRNA from 1 species